CGAAUGCAAUGCAUUAAGUUAAUUUCUCAACUUUUCAUUGGAUGUACACACGAGUCAGUGCUGAACAACAAGAAGUUAUAUUAGGCCACAUUCACCUAAACAAGAUUCUGAACGAAGGUGGGGUGUGGUACAAGCCGGGGGUUGAUUCGAUGGCGAAUAUAUACAUAUAUACAUCUCCACUUUAUUAAACUUUAGAUCGGAAAGUUAUCCUAUUUCUGAAUGUUCUUUUGUAUCUCUUUCAAUUUUACUGUUAUUACCUUAAGGUAGCUUAUACUUAACCAUUAUUGUAGCAAAAACCUUAAUGAAGUUGGUCAUGAAUUAUUAACAGUGAGUUAUGGGGGUAAAACAGAGCCUUCGAUGAAUUUUUCACAAUUUUUAGUGAACGGCCUCUUUUUUUAUACAUUACCCUAUUUAUUCCUCCCUAAAAAGGAAGGUGGUCUUUCUGAUGCACCUGAUAUAGUUCUAUGUUUCUCCUACAAAC
rnacentral:lncRNA from 1 species